UCGAAAGAGCAAAGCUUUCUAAUCCCUACUAUACUGAAUGAUUUUCUUUUUCUAUAUGUGGAAUCCCCAUUUCCCCUGUAAUGUUCAUCUGAUACUUUCUUAUUCUUGUUUCUGGUUGUCAUGUUGCGCUAUUGGUUUCUGAAAGCCAAGAAACAAGGUAAGUUAAGAAUUCUGCUCAAACUUUUUAAUGUGGGCUUCUUCAUGCCUACCCUUUAAGUUGUUCAAAUUUCAUCAUGGAAGGGAGAAGAACGGAUCGCAAGUAUUCAUUUCGUCUUAGUUUUGAGGACUUUACCAAUCUACAAGAAUUUGAUAGUACGCAAAAUUCAGAUUUACCAUUUUUUGAUCUAAGCUCAAUAGCUGCUGCAACAGAUUAUUUCUCCCCUGACAAUAAACUUGGUCAAGGUGGAUUUGGUUCUGUAUAUAAGGGAUGCAGCAAUUCCAGCAAUGACCUUGUUGGUUGGUGCAAAUCUUGUUAAGGGUUUAGAGGGAGU